GACAGGGUAGCUCAGUUGGCAGAGCUCUGGACUCAUAAACCAGCGGUCGCGAGUUCAAAUCUCGCCCCUGUCACUA
rnacentral:tRNA from 1 species